rnacentral:lncRNA from 1 species
GUUAAUUCAUUGCUUGCCCACAUGUUGCGGUACUGGCUUCCAGGAAUACUUCUCUCAUCCACUGGGCUGACUCACCAGGGGAGGUGAUCAGAAAGAGCAAGGCCAGGGGUGGUACCACAUUAUGAACUUGUCCUGGAGCGCCCAACCGCCAGAAGCAUGUGGACAGUGGAGGAGGAGGAAUCAGGUUUGAAUAUACAGGGCCAGAAGCUAGUCUGUAGACAAUUCUUCCAAUUAGCAAAACUAAAAUUUUAAGCAGCAAAUUCAGUUCUCAUCAUGCCUUAUCAAAAAUGCAGCAUUUUUUUCUAUCAGAAAUAAGUGGAUAAUGCAGCAUGUAAAGUUAUCCGUGUAUUGUAUUAUUUUGUAUUACCGUAUUAUUUUGUGUGAUAAGAAUCACACAAAUAGAAUUUGUAAGAAUUCCUGUAUUUGUAGGGUACAACACUACAGUGUUUCUACAAACAGCGAGUUCUUCCGUGUGUGAAUCCACAUUUUAUGUGUCCCAACAAAUUAAGACAGAAUCUUAUCUUAUCUGAUGCAUCUCAUCAUCGUGAAGUCUGGCAGUUCCAGAAGAAAUAGCGCACAUGUCAAUGAAGCAAAAUGACCUGAAGAAGUGAUGAUGGAGAGCUGUACCCCCAUGUUUGAAAGAUGAAACACUUCCAUACCUCGGCAACGCUUUGGUCACACUCGACUCCAAGAACCAAGACAUUACCUCAAGACCUCUUGACUUCAACUGUGUAGUUGUGCUGUCAUGCAAAGGACGCUGGCCUCAGUUUCUCCAUCUAUCUGCAUGACGAGGGAAGUGGGCUAGAAGAUUCCCUCCGAGGUCCC